rnacentral:lncRNA from 1 species
UCAAUAAUAAACAUCUCUUUCUCUCCCAAUUAUCUCUUCUCAUUGCUAUUAGGCUUGUUUAUAACAGUAUUUAUGUUUCUCCUACAUAUAAUUAGUUUCUUUCAGUUUUGCAGCUUUUUAUUGAACAAAACCAAGAGUUCUUUAAGAGCUACUAUUUCUUGUUGGCUGUGAAACACCAACCAAUGAAUCAGUAGUAUCACCUAGUUGAAGUCGCAACAAUGGUGAAUCACAACUUUAAUCCACCAGCUACAGCAACCACACUGGAACUUGAUCGACGUCGACCCGGGAUUUUGGGACUUAAACUUCUGGUGACUGACAACCAGUUGUCUGGCUUCGGCUAAGUACAGAAAGAAUUUGCAAUUAAGAAGAGUCAAGAUACUUAAAACUGAGCGCGUAAACACAGAUUUGCAGAAAGAAUUUGCCCAGGAAGUUUACAUCUUGAGUAAAGGGCUGAAGACGUAUCAUGCACAAACGAUUACUGCAUCUAGCUCACGAUCCUGCUAAUAGGCCUGCAUUUGAGGUCGGGCUAGUACAGCAUUCAUCAUCCACCACCUACGUUUGGGUCAUCUCCUAAUCUUGAAGCCCUUGCACUUGAAGCAAAUGAGUCUCAAGUUCAGAAUGGGGAUAGUGCUGUAAAUAGCUAUUCAACACUGCUCAGGUGCUUCUUCAAGAAUCACUAUAGCAUGCUAUAUAGAAAGAUUUUGAGAGCCAAAAAGCAAACUUUGAAGAUAUAAUGCGAAGUGUAAUGGUAAAGCUACCUAUUGGAGUACUUCAAGAUUUUAGAGAUGAGUAGGAGGUUUUUGUUAGUUUUUAUUAUUGUUAUUCACAGCUUUAUUUUGAUUAUGUUGUUUUUUUGAGUUUGUACAUAUGUUAAAUUAUAAUAUAAGAUAUUUGUUAUUAUU